GAUGAACGCUGGCGGCGUGCCUAAUACAUGCAAGUCGAGCGAACGGACGAGAAGCUUGCUUCUCUGAUGUUAGCGGCGGACGGGUGAGUAACACGUGGAUAACCUACCUAUAAGACUGGGAUAACUUCGGGAAACCGGAGCUAAUACCGGAUAAUAUUUUGAACCGCAUGGUUCAAAAUUGAAAGACGGUCUUGCUGUCACUUAUAGAUGGAUCCGCGCUGCAUUAGCUAGUUGGUAAGGUAACGGCUUACCAAGGCAACGAUGCAUAGCAGACCUGAGAGGGUGAUCCGCCACACUGGAGCUGGGACACGGUCCAGACUCCUACGGGAGGCAGCGGUAGGGAAUCUUCCGCAAUGGGCGGAAGCCUAACGGAGCAACGCCGCGUGAGUGAUGAAGAUCUUCGGAUCGUAAAACUCUGUUAUUAGGGAAGAACAUAUGUGUAAGUAACUGUGCACAUCUUGACGGUACCUAAUCAGAAAGCCACGGCUAACUACGUG
rnacentral:rRNA from 1 species